CUCGCACCGGCGCUGGGGUGCAGGCUUUCAGUGGUCUCAGGGCUACGGCUUGUCGGUGCCUCGCCGCACAGUCCCCUUUGCAUUGAAGGACACGGUCUUACGGUGUAGGAGCAUUUUUGAGGUGCAUUCCUGGAUUUGGAGGCGAACCCCCAAUGGUUACCUCCACAGAGGCUUUGCGAAGGGCGCUCACUGACUUAGGUGAAGAGCGAAGGCUCAAGACUGUGCCGCUUUAUAGUGGCCCCUUGACGUCCAGAAGUUCCCCCCAGCGCCGGUCAUAAGCACUCCCGCCGCCUGGGCCCCGCCCUGCCUGCCAGGCGCCCUCCAGCCUCAGCUCCCGGACGCCCGGCGUGGCCGCUUUCUCGCGUCUUGCUGACCCGGGCCGGGGGCGUGUGCUCCUCCUGCAGCGGACGGAAGAUGCUGGGCCACGCAAGUUUCCCUGGGCUUGGUUAACCACCCCAAAGCCCAUUUCCAGAAGGAAAGGGUGUUGAGGAGGAGGGAUAGAAAGUCGAGAAGAGGGCCGGGGUCUUGCUCUGUUGCUCAGGCUGGAGUGAAGUAGAGCAUUCACAGCCCACUGCAACCUUGAACACCUGGGCUCAAGCAAUCCUCCUGCCUCAGCCUCCUGAGUAGCUGGGACCACAGAUGUGUACCACCAUGCCCAGCUACAUGUCUUUCUUUUGGGGGGACAGCAGAAACCUGGGCAGAGGAGGAAUCCUGAUACCCAGUUCUGAAACAAAGUGGCAGAAUUUGUAAUACAGAAGAAGGAUCUUGUGACUGGUAUUCUGUUAUCCACAAGAGUAAAUGUUCCCAAAUAAACAAAACUGGGAUAU
rnacentral:lncRNA from 1 species